UGUUGUCUUCGGACAACCACCAAUGCUCAGUGGGUCUGUGAUGAGCGCUUUCGGGUGACCCUGCUGUUAAUUGACAGCCACUAAUGAUCCCGUUACCUGUGAGGAUCGCCUUCGGGUGGUAACAAAAGAACACUUCCUGAGCCUGAGAGGGAGUACACAGUUUGACUGUGUGGUACAUCU
rfam:Serratia proteamaculans 568, complete genome.